UUCUCGCUUUGGUCUCAGGGAUCCCCGGCAGGUCACGACACGACCCGCGCUGGAGCCGGUCGGAAGGCAUGGGUUGGUCUCAGAAUUUGUUCCGUGUCUUGUGGAGAGCGCUGUCAAAGGAAGUGAAGGAGCAAGUGGGCACAGACCGGUUCGGGAACAAAUACUACUAUAUCCCAGAGUACAAGAACUGGAGAGGACAAACUAUUCGAGAGAAAAGAAUUGUAGAAUCAGCAAAUAAAAGAGAAAUAGACUAUGAAGUAGGGGAUAUCCCAACAGAAUGGGAAGCUUGGAUCAGAAAAACUAGAAAGACUCCACCUACUAUGGAGGAAGGAAGAUGCUUGGACACUCUUUGGAGGUGUGUGGACUGGAGAGUUCCAUUUGAAUUGAGGGUCACUUACCCAUCUACCUCCCCACAGUACCCUUGCCUCUUUGGGGAAACAGUACCAGCUGUCCCUCUGAGAUGUCAGCAGCCUGUUUUCAAGUCUCAAGUCAGUCGUACUCACUAUGGAUGAGAUUGGUUGAGAAUGAUAUCCUUCAGUACUUCACUACAGGGGACUCUUUGAUGUGACCUUCUCAGAAACGAGUUAACCUCAUGCAUGACUUUCUGACUGUCCACCCCACCAGAUUCAGCUUCAGUGGAGAAGGGCCAUUGUUGGCAUACUGCUUCAAAUCCCAGGCCAGGGAAGCCAGGACAGUGGUGCAAGACAUGGAAGGAAACAAUGAAGAGUGAAAAAUAUAAAGAAGAAAUUAAAAUGAAAACCAAAGACUUUCAUGAAAAAGA